ensembl:lincRNA Gm43689 predicted gene 43689
UUUUUUUUUUUCUUGCGCCUGCGCGCUGCGCCACGAGCAGCUGGGUUGGCAUCUGCGGUCCUUGCACCUUAAUUUCCAUCCAACUCACCUACAACGGAAGAUGAUCCUGUGCGGAGUAUGUGUACACCUUUCCCAGACCCAUUAUGUAAAUCUUUAUGAAUGAAGACGUUUGAGGAGAACAAACUGAGCAGCCUACUUAUUAGAAGUCCCAGGUCCUUGGAUAACCUAAUUUACAAGCCAGUUUCCUAACGGUGCUGCUACCACAUGUUCUCUUGGGUUUUUACCUAGAAGUGCAGGAGCCAUGGGCCUAUGGGCUCGUUUGCUAAGUCCGUUUUGAACACGCAUGCACUGGGCUGCCUGCUUUGGCUCUUGGGCCUGCAUUUGUUGUAUCUUCUUAAAAUAAAAUAAAAUAAAAUAAAAACUGCCUAUAUUUUU